CUGCUAUCGGAUUGGUACUAAGCCAUGUGAGUCGUUGUAGCAAUACAAGGCAUACGGCUCAGUAACACGUAGUCAAUCUAACCUAUGGACGGGGAUAACCUCGGGAAACUGAGGAUAAACCCCGAUAGAUCAUUAUGCCUGGAACGGUUUAUGGUCCAAAUGAUUCGUCGCCGUAGGGUGGGACUGCGGCCUAUCAGCUUGUUGGUGAGGUAAUGGCCCACCAAGGCUAUUACAGGUACGGGCUCUGAGAGGAGAAGCCCGGAGAUGGGUACUGAGACACGGACCCAGGCCCUAUGGGGCGCAGCAGGCGAGAAACCUUUGCAAUGUGCGCAAGCACGACAAGGUUAAUCCGAGUGUUUCCUGCUUAAGGAAUCUUUUGUUAGUUGUAAAACCACUGAUGAAUAAGGGGUGGGCAAGUUCUGGUGUCAGCCGCCGCGGUAAAACCAGCACCUCAAGUGGUCAGGAUGAUUAUUGGGCCUAAAGCAUCCGUAGCCUGUUCUGUAAGUUUCCGGUUAAAUCCAUUAGCUCAACUAAUGGGCUGCCGAAAAUACUGCAGAACUAGGGAGUGGGAGAGGUAGACGGUACUCGGUAGGAAGGGGUAAAAAUCCUUUGAUCUAUUGAUGACCACCUGUGGCGAAGGCGGUCUACCAGAACACGUUCGACGGUGAGGGGAUGAAAGCUGGGGGAGCAAACCGGAUUAGAUACCCGGGUAGUCCCAGCUGUAAACGAUGCAGACUCGGUGAUGCCCUGGCUUGUGGCCAGUGCAGUGCCGCAGGGAAGCCGUUAAGUUUGCCGCCUGGGAAGUACGUACCCAAGU
rnacentral:rRNA from 1 species